rnacentral:rRNA from 1 species
UACAGAGGUGGCAAGCGUUGUUCGGAAUCACUGGGCGUAAAGGGCGCGUAGGCGGCUCGGUAAGCGUGUGGUGAAAGCCUGGGGCUCAACCCCGGGUCGGCCAUGCGAACUGUCGAGCUGGAGCACUGUAGAGGCAGGCGGAAUUCCGGGUGUUGCGGUGGAAUGCGUAGAGAUCCGGAAGAACACCGGUGGCGAAGGCGGCCUGCUGGGCAGUAGCUGACGCUGAGGCGCGACAGCGUGGGGAGCAAACAGG